GUCGGUCAAAAAAUGGGGUAUGACAGAUGCCCCUAUUUAAGUUUCUUCCAUCGGAGAAGAAAAGAAAAGGAUGAUUUUUGAUUAUGUUUUUGUUUUGAUUUGACGAUGGAAGAGACUUAAAUACAGAGUACACCAUUUUUUGACCAGAUUGAACUAAAAAAUGCUAUAAUGUAAUGUUAUGAAUGUUAUGCUUGUGAAUUUUUGACCAUGAGAUU
rnacentral:lncRNA from 1 species